UUUUUUUUUUUAAUGACUUAAAUCCUUAAAAGAAUCUUGUACACGUACAAGUGAAAUGUCCAAAUGAAAUCUUGCACAUCUUCAUUUGGUUAUUCUAUGAGUUGACAUUACUAAAUGUUUAUGCAGUUAUAUUUCCAGAAUUCAUUUUGGUAAGAGAUAUAUAUUUAGUGUGUGUUGGAUUUCAAUUACUAGUUUCUUGAAUUAUGUCCGGCUAAUAAAUGCUCCUUUUCAGUUCUUUUGUGACACCGAUUGUCUGAUUAUAUAGUUUUUUGAGCUCUGUCCCACUCCAAUGAUCUCUUAUUUUCCACGGCAGAAAUGGAAGCCAAGCACUUCAGUCUCUGCCACGCUCUAAGACUUGGCAGAACUGGUACUGCCACUGCUCCCGCGUAAGUUCUGUGACUCUGCGACUUACUCAUUUUUUCUUAUGAAAUACAGAAGCAUUUUGUGGCUUUCUGAGAGGAAAAUCUUGUUGGAGUUCAAUCUGAAUUAUGCAUAACUUCUAAACUGGCUGUUGAAAGUUAUUAUUGAAUUAGUUUAUCAUUUGUAACACCUGUGCACAUGCCUCCGCCUACACUAGGAAAUGGGGAUUCGAGUCAGUGUUUAUGGGAAGCCCUUUAGGCUCUGCCUGACCAUGUGUCUCCCUGGGCCCCCACAUUCCCUCCCUGCCACCUCCUCCAGGCCACUCUCUAGCUGGUUGGAAUAUGCUUUCGUGUAGACUUUGGCCUUGAACCUUAUUCUUUUUCCUUCACUUCCCUUUUUAUCGUUCACAUCACAUCCUUUUGACAUGUUGCUUAAUUUCCAACUGGGGCCCUAAUAGGUGCCAUUUUUUUCUACUGCUUUGAUUCGAUUAUCUUACUCCCCUGUCUUCCUCUUCCAGCUCUAGACCCCAGAACUCCAGCCAGAGCCGGAAGAUGUUUACCCUCCCAGGUACUGAUGCACCUUACUAUGUUUGUGCAAAACAUUUAUACUUAUCAAUAUUUUGUUAUUUUUAUUAUGAAUCUAUGUCUUGCUAUUUUUAUCACAGUGCUUUUGUGUGUGUGGGUGUGUGGGUGUGUGUUAUACGGAGGGCAGGUCCUUCCUCUUGCCUUUCCAUUUAUUAUUACUAGAUUAAAAUAUUACUGAUUUCUUCUGUCUUAAAACUGACAUGUCUUCUCCAUUCAAACAUUACUGCUAUUAGUUUUUAGCAAUUCUCGGAAGGGUUCUAAGUAUAUGGGCUCUACCUACAGAUAAUAAAACACUGCUUCAUCCUCUCCAGUGCUUGUUGUCCUCAUCUAUGGGAGCACAGGGCACAGCAUCACUGUCCAGACAUCACACCCACAAGAGUGAGCUUUGGUGCCGUGGGUGGUGACAAAGCACCUUGCUCAGUGAUGGAGGCUACGGAGGUACAUGCAAUCACGGACUAAGAUGCUCACUGGGGACCUCUAGAAAUAAUAAGAGAAUUUUCAGUGUGGGAAAUACACAUGGAAGGUGAAGACCAGAGCCCAAAAAAUCUAGUUUAUUCCUAUGUCCCGUUUAUUAUGAUAUGCCCUUUGUGACCAGAGGAAGUAAAGCAGACAUCAACUAUGAAAAUACACAAGAAUGGAACCGUUUCAGUGAGAGCUAAAAAUGAAGAACGACAGAUUUCCUGGAAAUAGCAAAGAAGAAGGCAAAGAGUCAGUUAAGGAUGAAGUGAAAUCUCAAACCUCAAUCCUACAGAAAUGACAUAAAGAACAACUAGCAAGUCUAAACAUUAACUUAGAAAGCAAAGGUUUAGAAUUUCCCAGACCUUAGAAUUUAAAAAACUGGUUUAUUCCUCCUUUAAAAAUUUUUAAGGACUGACAUAGACUGUUUUAAAAAAUUACCAUUUGUUCAUAGGAGAAAAAAAAGAAGAAUGUUUUAAAAAAUGACCACUUGUUCAUAGGAGAAAAAAAAACAUUUUGUAACCAAAACUUUAGGAAUGGCACAGGCUAUGAGUAAAGAAGAGUUUUAUAAAUUUAAAACACUCCUCUUCAUCAGGAACUCACUUUAUUGCCCUGGUAUUUCUAAAUUAGCCAGAGAUAAAUGCGCACCUCAUCAGGGUCUGGCGGGUCCACUGACCCGUGUAAGGACAUCACACCAGGGAGAUGUCAAAACACUUGACAGCUGCGUGGAUUGGGUACCAACCAACCACAGUAAACGCCACCAUUUAAACGGACAUUAACCACGGACGGCCCGUUGAAAAUAAAACCUGAGGAGGAUCACAGGUAUAAACCUAAUCUGCGCGCAACUGUGGUAUCGGAGGAGACAUGGGGGAAAGCGAAAAUAGCCACAAUUAUGAAACUAAGACACCAACCUAAAAUAAGGCUCUUGCAUUGAUGAAAGUGUGUGUCCUAGAGUUGGAGAUUCAGCGUUGUCUCCCUCACUAACGCAAAGGAAGAGAGAGCUACUAACACGCUACUUAGGUUUCAGACAACAAAUGCAAAGAACCUGAAAUUCAGGCACCUCAGAUGAGAGGAGACCUGACAUUCAAAGGUGGGAAGAAAAGAAAAUCUUUCCUUUUAUAAUUUAAAGAUUAGAGGAUGAAGAGACUUAGACAACACUCAUGGGAUGUGUUUUUUCAUCACAGAUCAAUUACCUUGCUAAGUUGCUGUUCUCUUUGAAGGAAGAAAGCAUUUCCAAAAUCACAAUAAGAGAAAAGUCCCUGCCUCCAGCGAAUACCCAAUGAUGCGCUGAGCUGGUUUUACGGAGAGGAUCAUGGGGGGGGGGGCAACAGCCACCAUCCUGACCCGGGGGCUAACGGGACCACUGUGACGUGCAAAAUACACUCUGCUCACCUCGGGGCCUCAGAAAUGGGGCCAUAAAUGGUUUCAAGAUUAUUGAGAAAUUACAAGGAAGAUUAGGUACAGGUGGGUAAGUGUGCAGUAAAGGAAAAAGAGCUAAAUAGUCAAAUAAAAUGAAAAUGAAAUAAAACAAACUCUAGUUCUCCCGAAGACCAUGCAAUGACUCUUUUUUUAAGUAAGACUAUAUAUUUAGAGAAAUACAAGGUUCACAGAAAAACUGAGGGCAAAGGGACAGAGAUUUCUCAUAUAGCCCCUGCCCCACACAUGCAUAACCCACCCCACUUUCCAUUAUCAAUAUCUCAACAGAGCAUUUGUUACAAACGAUGAAACUACACUGAUAUGUCACAACACCCAAAGUCCAUCCUUUACACUGUAAUCCACUCUUGGGGUUUACAUUCUAUGGGUUUGGACCAACGUAUGAAAACAUGUACCGAUCAUUACAGGGUCACACAGUAUUUUCACUGCCCUAAAAAUACUCCAUGCUCUCUGUCUACUCAUCGUCCCAACACGUGCCAACCACUGACCUUUUCACUCUUCCAGAACACCGUAUGGUUGGAAUCCCAUAGUACAGAGCCUUCGCAGUCUGGCUUCUUUCCCUUGGUGGUAAACAGUCAAGGCUCCUUCAUAGUUUCUCAGCUUGAUGGCUCAUUUUUUUAAGCACUGAAUGAUACUCCAUUGUCUGGAGGGUCCACAGUUUACUUGCCCACUGACCUACGGAAGGACAUCUUAGUUGCUUCCCAGUUUGGGCAAUUAUGAAUAAGACUGUAACAAACGCCUGUUGUGCAGGUUUUUGCGUGGACAUACCUUUUCAACUCCUCUGGGUAAAUACCAAGGAGUACAACUGUGGAUCAUACGGUAAGGCUGUGCUUAGUUUUGUAAGAAAUCACCAAACUGACUUCUAAAGUGGGUCCAUCACUUUGCAUCCCCACCAGCAAUAGACAUGGGUUCCUGCUGCUCACAUCUUUGCCAGUAUUUGCUGCUCUCAGUGUUCCAGAUUUCAGCUCUUCUAAUAGGUGUAUAGGGGUAUCUGGCUGUUUUAAUUUGCAUUUCCCCGAUGACAUAUGAUGUGGAGCAUCUUUCCAUACGCUUAUUCAUCAUCCAUAUAUGUAUUUUUUGAUGAGGCACCUGUUAAAGUCUUUGACAUAUUUUAAAUUGGGUUAUUUGUUUUCUUAUUUAAUUUUAAGAGCUCUUUGUAUAUCAUGGAUAACAGUUCUUUACCAUAUGUGUCUCUUGGAAAUAUUUACUCUCAGUUGGUGGCCUGGACUCACAUUCUCUUGAUAUUGUCUGUGGAAGAGCAGAAGCUUUUAAUUUUACUGAAGUCCACCUUAUCAAUUAUUUCUUUCAUAGACCAUGUAUUUGCUGUUGUAUCUAAAAAGUUAUCCUCAUCCCAAGAUUAUCUAGGUUUGCGCCAUUCCUAUCUUCUAGGAGUUUUACUGUAUUACGUUUUACGUUUAUUUAUUUUUUCAGGGCCACACCCACGGCACACGAAGGUCCCCAAGCUAGAGGUCCAAUUGGAGCUGUAGCUGCCAGCCUACGGCACAGCCAAAGCAACGUGGGAUCCAAGCCACGUCUAUGACCUACACCACAGUUCACAGCAACACUGAAUCCUUAACCUACUGAGAGAGGCCAGUGAUCGAACCUGCAUCCUCACGGAUGCUAGCUGGGUUCGUUAACCUCUGAGCCAUGACAGGAACUCCUAUGUUUUACUUUUAGAUCUGUGAUUCAUUUUCAGUUAAUGUUUGCGAAGGGUAUAUGCAAAUAUUUUAAACUAUUUAUUAAAAGACAUCGAAAUUAAAUAAACAUAUUUAGGUAUGAAGCUUAGAUUUUUUUAAAAGUUAAUUAGCUCUCUGUGGAGAAGACUAAAGAAAUAUUCAUGUAGUUACCCUUCGGCUGAGAAAUCUCAGUUCUAGAAUCUCCCCUUCACCUACAUCUCUGCAAACAUCAUACGACAAAGGCACAAGGUUAUUCAGCGAAGCAUUUUUAUCACAGCAAAAUCUACUGAAAGGUGAGAGAAUACAAAUUCCUGUUAGUAGGAACACGGUUAAACAAGCUACAUCCACCUAAUAGAAUAUUAUGCAGCUAAAAAAUAAUUAGAAAGAUUUAUAUGAAUUGACAUAUGGAGUCAUUUCUGUUUUAGUUUCCAUAUUUAAGAUUUUAAAAGGUGCAAAAGAACGUAUACAGAGAAUGCUUCCUUUUGUAUAAGAAAGAAGAAAAAAUAAAACUAUAAAUACAUGCCUACUUUUACAAAAAGAAACACGAGAAGGAUAAACCAGAAACUACUGACCGCAGUUACCUAAGAUGAGGGCUCAUUUCAAUAGUUGUGCGGAGUGUGGGAGCAGAGAAGAGGAGAUGAGGCUGGGAGCUAGUACCUAAGGAGCCAGUACCUAAGGAGCCAGCACCUAAGGAGCCAGCACCUAAGGAGCCAGCACCUAAGGAGCCAGUACCUAAGGAGCCAGCACCUAAGGAGCCAGCACCUAAGGAGCCAGCACCUAAGGAGCCAGCACCUAAGGGUGUCUUUAGUUAAAGACAACUUUCACAUACUUUACCUUUAUUUGAGUAUACAUUUUUAUACAGCUUUGAUUUUUUAAAAAAUGUGAAUGCUUUUUACAUUCAAAAAUAAAACUAAAUAACAAGUAUCUAAAAGGAAAACACCUAAAUUGAAUAUAAGGUUAAGGAAAUAAAUCUAACUAAACGAAGUUGGUGGGAAACGGAAUUUUUUUCGAAAGACUUUCAACAUAGCACUGGCUUUCCUCCUCUAGUAGCAUCUACUCUGAGGAAAAGAAUGAACUGCAAAGAAAUCCCGAGCUAUUUACAAUACUUGGUUUUUAGUAGUAAUAUUAGUAUUGAGAAUAUGUAGGUACCAAGGUUUGCACUGUAACAAAAAAGAAAGAAAAACAGGAUAUAAACAAAUCUAAUAAACUGGUUUAGAUGUUAAAUCUUAAUGGGAAAUAUUAAUACGAACUAAUGAUUCCACAUACAAGCUUUCUAGCUCAGUUGGGGUCAGGUGAACAUGGUCCGGAUAUUAGGUGAUGCUGUAGAUUAUUUUUAGUUUUUUAAGGUGUGGCAAUGAUAUUGUACUUACAUAGGAGGAUUUCUUUGUUCUUCGGAUACUUAAGGCUAUGUGUGGAUUUUGGGGUGGAGUCCAUGGCAUUCGCAACUUACUUUCAAAUGGAUCAGUAAAAAUAGAUUAUUAUGUUUUUAAUGCUCAAACCGUCCAAAAUUUAGCCAGAGAGAGACCAAGACCAGAGACAGAGAGACAGACAGAAAGCGAGAGGAAGCAAAAUCCUAAUAAGACUGACUUAUGAAGAAAGAGAAAAAUCUGAAUAGUAUUGCAACAAUUCAGUAAAUUUGAUCUGUAAUAUGAAAGUUUUCUAAAGGCAAAAAUGUGAGCCUAAAUGUCUUAGUGAAUCAAUUCUAUCCAAAUGUCAGGAAGAAAUAAAGCCAAAGCAGUGGACGCUCUUCCAGAGAAUUGAAAAAAGGGGGCACACUUCCCUCUAUGCUUGAGGAGGCCAGAAUAAAUUUGACCCCCAAGCUUAGCAAAGACAUUAUAAGAAAAGAAAAUUAUAGGCCAUUUUCAUUAAUAAAGAUAAAUGCAAAAUUCCAAGCAAUAUUAGCAAAUUAGAGGUUCCAUUUCCAGGAGUGGUAGAAUAGGUUGUAUCAGAAUGACCUUCUAAUGAUCUCUGCCUAGUAAUGGUCAUCAACUCUGACCCAAGAUUGACCCAGUGCAGCCAAACAUCACAGGGGACAUGAGCCUUGAAAGAAAGGCAACGCACGGGCUUAAUUUACACGUACUGACUUCGCACCUAAGGGCUCCCCUAAUUCAGUGCUGCAUGCAGGAACAGAGCUCCGGAAGAGAGCAGCAGGCUUGCUGGGCAAGGAUUCAGAGUC
ensembl:lncRNA